rnacentral:tRNA from 1 species
AUUGAGGUGGCAGAAGCCUGGUUAAAUGUAAAAGGCCUAAGCCCUUUACUCAGGGGUUCAACUCCCCUCCUCAUUA